GCCCUCCUUUCUCUCGGCUACAUCGCCGCUCCACCCGAGUCGCCGGUUGCAGCUCCACGGCGUCACAGGGUCGCCGGUACCCUCCAUCGAGCUGCAGUUCUGCCUGCGGCUAUCUCCGCCGGCGUUCUGUACUCUGCAUUCUCGCCGUUGCAGUCAGAGUUCUACCGGCAGCCAAUCUGUCGGCAUCGCCGUGGUUGGGUUCGACGACAGUAGCUUUACGGACAUUUCCCCCUAAGCUAAGUUCUUUAUUCCAUUCUUCCCUAGUGUAGUUAUUUAAAAAAAAAACUGAGCUAAGUCCGUGACAAUCUGUAAUUUGAGCAUUGGAGACUUCUUUGGACUUGCUGUUAUAGAUUUAUUUCUUAUUGGAGGAGGUGAUUUAUUUCAAUUGUUCAUUGUAGUUUAUUGCAAAAGCUAUGUUUAAAAAAAAAUAUAAUGUGAGUUGAUGAGGAACAAUGUUGCUACUGUUAUGUGAAAUCUUAGCAUGCUGCAAGGUUUCCUCUAAGAUGGUUCAUGCUUUCCUAUUCUAAGUGUGAAAUGUAUGGAGAUAUAAGGAUGGGAGUGUGGUUACCUGUUGUGGUGAUAAAUUGGGAAAAGAAACUGAUGGGUUCUUGCUAGCUUAGCUCCACUCACUGCCCCUUUCACAAAACUCACUCUCUCUUGAUUUCUGACUGAAGUGGUAAAGGAGAGAUAUAGGGUGGAGACUCUCAUAUUUAUAGGCUGUUUGUUGUUGAAUCUUUGUAUAACAGAUUGUGGUGGGAUUAGCAGGCAUCAAACCUGAUAACUCUUGGCUCUUUAUUCAGAAUGGUUGGCUGUUUGUAAGGCAGUACAUAAGAUGUACUCGUGAAUCAAAUGGACUGAGCUCCUCCUUUGAUUUCUUAUUGCAGCAAAAUCCCUUUUGAUGAUCUUCAUCCUACUUUGUUUAGUUCGAUUUGUUUCUAUCUUUGGAGUACAUGUACUCUUGCAUUUAAACACUUUGUUGGAUUGUUGCAGGUAGUAUUUGGAGAGAAGGCAGAAGCUGUUGGGAGUAGGAGCUGUGUUGCAUGCAAGCAUUGACUUACCUUCUUGGGUGGUAGUCAUAGGAGGAAAAAUUAUUGGGCUGCUCUUCGGGCCGACAGCCCACUGCCUACGGGCCGGACUAACGGGUCUUGGGUGUGGUUCGUGCUUGAAAAGAAAAGGCCCGCUGUUUAUGUUCUUGCAUUUUUAGUCAUAAUUUCUUUUCUUAACUUCAUAAACUCAUGCACUUAAUUAUGUAAAUUAGCGCGUAGCUUGAGGUGUAUGCGAACACUUUAGUUUGGGAAAGUAAUCUUCAUAUUCUUUCUCGACGUUUGUUAUGCUCAAAGUAGAUAUAUAAAUGUUUUAGUUCGUCGA